rnacentral:rRNA from 1 species
GGUUAAGUCAGGCAACGAGCAAGACCCGUGCCCACAGUUGCCAGCAUACCCUCCGGGGUGAUGGGCACACUGUGGGGACCGCCGCUGUUAAAGCGGAGGAAGGUGCGGGCUACGGUAGGUCAGUAUGCCCCGAAUCAUCCGGGCUACACGCGGGCUACAAUGGUUGGGACAAUGGGCACCUACACCGAGAGGUGAUGGUAAUCUCCUAAACCCAGCCUUAGUUCGGAUUGAGGGCUGCAACUCGCCCUCAUGAAGCCGGAAUCCGUAGUAAUCGCGUAUCAAUAUCACGCGGUGAAUACGUCCCUGCUCCUUGCACA